rnacentral:tRNA from 1 species
GAUCAGGUGGCCGAGUGGUUAAGGCGAUGAACUGCUAAACUGCUAAUCCAUUUGGGUUUCCCCGCGUGAGUUCGAAUCUCAUCCUGAUCG